ACGCACGGUGUAAACUUGAAGGAAUUGACGGAAGGGCACCACAAGAACGCGUGGAGCAUGUGGCUUAAUUUGACUCAACGCGGGAAAUCUUACCGGGUCCGGACACACUGAGGAUUGACAGGCAAUAUUAAAUAAAGAAAAUUUUUGGACUAUCUGAUAUUUAUGUUAAAUAUGCUAGUCCUUUCAUGAUUAUGUGAUAGGUGGUGCAUGGCCGUUCUUAGUUCGUGGAGUGAUCUGUCUGCUUAAUUGCGUUUCACUAAGGGCUUAUCUAAUUAUAACGUGUGUUGCUAGAGUUUUAUACCUUUGUGACCCCUUUAAUUAGUGUGUGUCUAUAAGGGUAGCUUUGGCUCACACAAUUAAGUCCUGAAAGCAACGAACGUGACCG
rnacentral:rRNA from 1 species